AAUGAUACUUCUGCCUUGAACGCCUCACCGCAUUGGGCAGCCCGCGACGAAUGACGGGAUCAUGUUGGUUUGGGUUGGAAACUGAUACCCAUGCCGGCUGAU
rnacentral:sRNA from 15 species